rnacentral:rRNA from 1 species
GGGGGGGGGGGGGGGGGGGGGGGGGGGGGGGGGGGCGGGGGGAGGGGGGGGGGGCUGGCUCCGCUGGGGUUGGCGGCGGGCGGGUGGGUGCCGCGUGGAUAACCUACCUAUAAGACUGGGGUAACUGCUGGACACCGGCGCUAAUACCGGCUAACCUGUUUAACCUCAUUGUUCAACAGUUCACGCCGGUCUUGCUUUCACUUCUCGCUGUAUCCGCUCCGCAUUAGCUAGUUGGUAAGGUAACGGCUUACCAAGGCAACGAUGCGUAGCCGACCUGAGAGGGUGAUCGGCCACACUGGAACUGAGACACGGUCCAGACUCCUACGGGAGGCAGCAGUAGGGAAUCUUACGCAAUGGGCGAAAGCCUGACGGAGCAACGCCGCGUGAGUGAAGAAGGUCUUCGGAUCGUAAAACUCUGUUAUUAGGGAAGAACAAAUGUGUAAGUAACUAUGCACGUCUUGACGGUACCUAAUCAGAAAGACACGGCUAACUACGUG